rnacentral:rRNA from 1 species
UACGUAGGGUGCGAGCGUUGUCCGGAAUUAUUGGGCGUAAAGGGCGCGUAGGCGGUCUGUUGCGUCAGGAGUGAAAACUCGGGGCUUAACCCCGAGCCUGCUUCUGAUACGGGCAGACUAGAGGUAUGCAGGGGAGAACGGAAUUCCUGGUGUAGCGGUGAAAUGCGCAGAUAUCAGGAGGAACACCGGUGGCGAAGGCGGUUCUCUGGGCAGUACCUGACGCUGAGGAGCGAAAGUGUGGGGAGCGAACAGG